rnacentral:rRNA from 1 species
UGGGGAAUAUUGGACAAUGGGCGCAAGCCUGAUCCAGCCAUGCCGCGUGAGUGAUGAAGGCCCUAGGGUUGUAAAGCUCUUUCACCGGUGAAGAUAAUGACGGUAACCGGAGAAAAAGCCCCGGCUAACUUCGUGCCAGCAGCCGCGGUAAUACGAAGGGGGCUAGCGUUGUUCGGAUUUACUGGGCGUAAAGCGCACGUAGGCGGACUUUUAAGUCAGGGGUGAAAUCCCGGGGCUCAACCCCGGAACUGCCUUUGAUACUGGAAGUCUUGAGUAUGGUAGAGGUGAGUGGAAUUCCGAGUGUAGAGGUGAAAUUCGUAGAUAUUCGGAGGAACACCAGUGGCGAAGGCGGCUCACUGGACCAUUACUGACGCUGAGGUGCGAAAGCGUGGGGAGCAAACAGG